GGUGGAUAAUUAAGUCAGAGGUGAAAGUUUGCAGCUCAACUGUAAAAUUGCCUUUGAUACUGGUUAUCUUGAGUUAUUAUGAAGUAGUUAGAAUAUGUAGUGUAGCGGUGAAAUGCAUAGAUAUUACAUAGAAUACCAAUUGCGAAGGCAGAUUACUAAUAAUCAACUGACACUGAUGGACGAAAGCGUGAGGAGCGAACAGGAUUAGAUACCCUGGUAGUCCACGCCGUAAACGAUGGUUACUAGCUGUUCGGACUUCGGUCUGAGUGGCUAAGCGAAAGUGAUAAGUAACCCACCUGGGGAGUACGUUCGCAAGAAUGAAACUCAAAGGAAUUGACGGGGGCCCGCACAAGCGGUGGAGCAUGUGGUUUAAUUCGAUGAUACGCGAGGAACCCUACCAGGGCUUAAAUGUAGUGUGACAGGACUAGAGAUAGUUUUUUCUUCGGACACAUUACAAGGUGCUGCAUGGUUGUCGUCAGCUCGUGCCGUGAGGUGUCAGGUUAAGUCCUAUAACGAGCGCAACCCCUGUUGUUAGUUGCCAGCGAGUCAUGUCGGGAACUCUAACAAGACUGCCAGUGCAAACUGUGAGGAAGGUGGGGAUGACGUCAAAUCAUCACGGCCCUUACGUCCUGGGCUACACACGUGCUACAAUGGUAUAGACAGAGAGCAGCCACUGGGCGACCAGGAGCGAAUCUAUAAACUAUAUCACAGUUCGGAUCGGAGUCUGCAACU
rnacentral:rRNA from 1 species